AAAGAUACCUGGCAGGGGAGAUACCAUAAUUGUGAAGGUGGUUUUCCCAGGCUAAGGCUUAUCCAUUGCUCUCCAGAUGUGCUGACCCCUGCAAUUUCCCCAAAGGUGGGAAAUUCGACUGUAUAAUUUAUGGUAGUGGGGUAUGGCAUUUGCACUUGCCCCUA